rnacentral:rRNA from 1 species
CUAGCAUAUCAAUAAGCGGAGGAAAAGAAACUAACAAGGAUUCCCCUAGUAACUGCGAGUGAAGCGGGAAAAGCUCAAAUUUAAAAUCUGGUGGUCUUUGACCAUCCGAGUUGUAAUUUAGAGAAGCGUUUUCCGCGCUGGACCGUGCACAAGUCUCCUGGAAUGGAGCGUCAUAGAGGGUGAGAAUCCCGUCUUUGGCACGGACACGCCAGGGCUUUUGUGAUGCGCUCUCAAAGAGUCGAGUUGUUUGGGAAUGCAGCUCAAAAUGGGUGGUGAACUCCAUCUAAAGCUAAAUAUUGGCGAGAGACCGAUAGCGAACAAGUACCGUGAGGGAAAGAUGAAAAGCACUUUGGAAAGAGAGUGAAACAGUACGUGAAAUUGUUGAAAGGGAAACGCUUGAAGUCAGUCGCGUCGACCGAGACUCAGCCUUGCCUUGGCUUGGUGUACUUCUCGGCUGACGGGUCAGCAUCAAUUUUGCCCCUUGGAUAAUGGUGAGGGAAAUGUGACACCUUUUAUGGUGUGUUAUAGUCUCUUGUCGCAUGCAAGGGUUGGGAUUGAGGAACUCAGCACGCACCUUUGGGUGUCGGGGCUCUGCUCACGAUACGUGCUUAGGAUGCUGGCGUAAUGGCUUUAAACGACCCGUCUUGAAACACGGACCAAGGAGUCUAACAUGCCUGCGAGUGUUCGGGUGGAAAACCCGUGCGCGCAAUGAAAGUGAAAGUUGGGACCUCUGUCGUGGAGGGCACCGACGCCCGGACCAGACCUUCUGUGACGGCUCUGCGGUAAAGCAUGUAUGUUAGGACCCGAAAGAUGGUGAACUAUGCCUGAAUAGGGUGAAGCCAGAGGAAACUCUGGUGGAGGCUCGUAGCGAUUCUGACGUGCAAAUCGAUCGUCAAAUUUGGGUAUAGGGGCGAAAGACUAAUCGAACCAUCUAGUAGCUGGUUCCUGCCGAU